rnacentral:lncRNA from 1 species
AGCCCAACCCCUGAUCAAAUCAAAGACCAAACCAUCUCGACGAUUAGGUCAACUCUUAACCUAAUCGGGUCAAACCUAACUGAAUCCAAUUCAAUUGGACUUGAUCCAAAAUUAAUUACUCAAUCAAAUUGAGUUAAUUAGCGAUCAAAUCACUAAUUAAACCUCUCAUAAAUAUUGAGUCCAAAUUCGAUGGGUAAUCGGGUAUCAGAAUUCAUCGAUAUGUAACCCUGAUCGAAGAGUCCUAAAUCAGUGGGACUCUUGACCCCGGUACCCAAAAUGUGUGGAACUCAUGAUCAGAGAAUCCUGAUUCUCGAUCACUGAGUCUCAAAUAUGUAGGAUUCUACAUCAGCCAUCAGAUCAGAUAGGAACCUCUAAUGUGUGUGACCCCACAGGUUCGAACCUA